rnacentral:ncRNA from 2 species
CGAGCCGCGGUGGGAGAGUCCGUGCGGGUCCGGUUCCGGCCGGGCCGACGGCGCCGAAGGAGCAACCUCCCCGGGAAUCUCUCAGGCCCCCGUACCGCCGCGGCGAG